rnacentral:rRNA from 1 species
CACCGCGGUUAUACGAGAGGCCCAAGUUGACAGUUACCGGCGUAAAGAGUGGUUAGGGUGUUCCUCAACUAAAGCCGAAUACCUCUUAGGCUGUUAUACGCACCUGGAGGCACGAAGCUCCCCCACGAAAGUGGCUUUAUCCCCCCCCCGAACCCACGACAGCUUUGCCA